rnacentral:rRNA from 1 species
UGGGGAAUUUUGGACAAUGGGCGAAAGCCUGAUCCAGCAAUGCCGCGUGUGUGAAGAAGGCCUUCGGGUUGUAAAGCACUUUUGUCCGGAAAGAAAUCCUUGGCUCUAAUACAGUCGGGGGAUGACGGUACCGGAAGAAUAAGCACCGGCUAACUACGUGCCAGCAGCCGCGGUAAUACGUAGGGUGCAAGCGUUAAUCGGAAUUACUGGGCGUAAAGCGUGCGCAGGCGGUUUGCUAAGACCGAUGUGAAAUCCCCGGGCUCAACCUGGGAACUGCAUUGGUGACUGGCAGGCUAGAGUAUGGCAGAGGGGGGUAGAAUUCCACGUGUAGCAGUGAAAUGCGUAGAGAUGUGGAGGAAUACCGAUGGCGAAGGCAGCCCCCUGGGCCAAUACUGACGCUCAUGUACGAAAGCGUGGGAGCAAACAGGAUUAGAUACCCUGGUAGUCCACGCCCUAAACCGAUGUCAACUAGUUGUUGGGGAUUCAUUUCCUUAGUAACGUAGCUAACGCGUGAAGUUGACCGCCUGGGGAGUACGGUCGCAAGAUUAAAACUCAAAUGAAUUGACGGGGUCAUAGCUG